ACAGGGGCCUACAAGAUCCAAUUCAUGUUUGACAGUUCGUCAAAAUAAACAAGUAGUAUUGAUGGGUAAAGAAGAAAGCUGAGGCACAUCAAUCAAACGCCAACCCACCUGCUAUUGGCACUAAAUGAGGAAGGAAAAAGAACAUUGUCCCUGAAGGCUCGAGACACACAAACAGGAA